AUUGAACGCUGGCGGCAGGCCUAACACAUGCAAGUCGAACGAGUGGCGGACGGGUGAGUAAUGUCUGGGAAACUGCCCGAUGGAGGGGGGUAACUACUGGAAACGGUGGCUAAUACCGCAUACCAUCGGAUGUGCCAAGAUGGGAUUAGCUAGUAGGUGGGGUAACGGCUCACCUAGGCGACGAGCCCUAGCUGGUCUGAGAGGAUGACCAGCAACACUGGUACUUAGACACGGUCCAUACUCCUACGGGAGGAAGAAGUGGGGAAUAUUUGACAAUGGGCGCAAGCCUGAUUGAGCCAUGCCGCGUGUAUGAAGAAGGCCGUCGGGUUGUAAAGUACUUUCAGCGGGGAGGCGUUACUCGCAGAAGAAGCACCGGCUAACUCCGUGCCAGCAGCCGCGGUAAUAC
rnacentral:rRNA from 1 species